rnacentral:rRNA from 1 species
AUACGAAGGGGGCAAGCGUUGUUCGGAAUAACUGGGCGUAAAGCGCACGUAGGCGGAAUGUUAAGUUAGAGGUGAAAUCCCAGGGCUCAACCCUGGAACUGCCUUUAAUACUGGCAAUCUAGAGACCGAGAGAGGUGAGUGGAAUUCCGAGUGUAGAGGUGAGAUUCGUAGAUAUUCGGAGGAACACCAGUGGCGAAGGCGGCUCACUGGCUCGGUACUGACGCUGAGGUGCGAAAGCGUGGGGAGCAAACAGGAUUAGAAACCCUUGUAGUCC